AGUGCAUAUGUACUAAACAUGGUUUGAGGUUUCAGAAAAUCUUUGGGUCUUUUGUUGCAAACAUAAUUUUUUUUAACAAAUUUUUUUUUUCAUUUGUUUAAAAGAAAAAAUACACUUUGUGCAGUGAAUUUUCAGUGAAAAAAUAAAAAUUCUCUAUUGAAAAAGAAUAUUUUUGCCCAAGUAUUUGUCAUGCAAAUUUAGAGAGAAACAAAUAUAGUGAAACUGAUAAUAAUUAAAUGUAAACAAAAUAACUUUAAACAAGGAACAAAAAUUUCUUUUUAAAAAAAAAUUCCAAAACCAGUCCAAUUCAAUGUACAGUAAAACACUGUUAUAGCGAACACACUUAUAAUGAAUUAACGCUUACAGUGAAGUGAUUUUCAUUUCCCGUGACUAUAUUACAUGUUGUAAACUUGACGGAUAUAACGAAUUACGCUUAUAACGAAGCAAAUUCGCCCGUCCCUGGCGCUUCGUUAUAACCGUGUUUUACUGUAGAUUGAAUUUUGUUUGCAGCACAUCUCCUGAAGAUUUUUGCUAACACAUAGUUACAACACACUUAUAAUAUAUUAUUUAGUCUUUUUAAUACAAAUAUGUCCCAAUUUGAUUAUUAUGAAAGAUUGGCCACGGACAUUGGAAGGUCAAAUUGUAUAUGCUUGCAAGGUUAUGAUAUUCUUUUUUAGCACACAGUUUGUGACCUUCAAGCCAAAGUUCAAGGUCAAAAUUUUACGUUUCAUAACAUAAUCAAAAAGUGUAUUUACUGGUGGAAAACUCUUUUUCCCCCUUUAAAAUGCAUUUAUUAAUUUUUUUUAUUCAAAAUAAGAAAAAAAGGUGGAGAUAGUGUGAGGAAAUUUUGUGAAACUUGAUUUUAUCAUGUGCUGCCAUGCUAAUCCUUUCUUUUGCAUUUUGCUUUUAGCAUUCUGUGGUAAACGUAUUUGUAUAACUGGAAGCCCUCUCUCUCAGUGUCAUGUGGUCAUUUCAUGUACGCCCUUCAGACUGCACACAUACGAUAAAUAUAGUAUAUAUAUAUUAUAUAAUAUGAAUUGCAUUUUCACUUUUAUCCAAUGAAAAAAAAUAUUUUUUUCGUGAUUUACAUGAUGGAAUAUUACAUAUAUGUAUAUGUACAUUGAUGUAUCUCGUUGAUCAAUAAAUAAAAAAAAAAACAUCAGUGUACCGAAAU
rnacentral:sRNA from 1 species